GUAAAAAGAUCACAUCCAAUCAAACUAGGGAAAACAACACAUAAAAAAUAAAAGGGAAGUUGAAAAGGAGGAGUAGGGAGAGAGAAGUCUGAGGAGCCUGGAUCUGGAGGAUGCAGAAUGAGGUUUUACAAAAGGUCCUUACAAUACCCUUCUCUCUUAGGGGCUGACUUCCCCUUGUGACCGGUCUGCCAAUCAAGGGAAGCAGUGGCUGGACACCCUUCAGAUCUCCAGGCAGUUCUCCACCGACCUGGGACUUUAGAAUUCACUGAGGACACGCCCCUAAAGACACUGUCUGCAGCCUUCCCUCCCCCUCUUAUUCCCCUCCCUCUCUCCUACACAUAGAUAGGGACAGCUAUACACCCAUGCUCAGCACUGAAGAAACUACAAAAGAUCUGGACCUCUGCCCUUUUUCCCUUAGAUAUUUGGAGAGGGGAGGGGAUGGGAUGGCAGGGGGCACUGAACCAGGUGGGGCCUGAGAUUCUGGCCCUCUGGGAGGCUGUGUGGUUCCCCUAUGGAUGGCUGGGCUGGCCAGAUGGCACGACUCACCAGAAGCAGUGGGAAGUCAGCUAGCAAAAGGAAUACAUGACCCACUCGCUUCCAUUACUUCACUUUCUCCCUCACCUCUUGGUCACAGAGUAUCCCUCAAUCGGGAAAAACCUUAUCCCACCCGCAGGAGCGCACUGGCUGUGCUCCCAUUCUGGCCUUCAGCCCUGUGUACCCCCUAGCUCCCUCACUGCCUGCUGCACCCCCUCACAAUAGUACCCCGAGUGACCUACUAUGCCAAGCAGGACCUCCUCUUCCUUAAGGAGGGGGCCUCUGUACAGCCUUGGAUGAAGAAUGCUGCUUCUAUGUUAACCACUCAGGGAUUAUUAGGGACUCCCUGAGCAAGCUACGAGAGGGUCUAGAAGCCCUAAUGGAGAGGGAAACUGCCGGCCCCUGGUACACCCACCUUUUCAAUUCUUCUCCCUAGUCACGUCCCUUAUAGGACCCCUCAUAAUCUUAACCCUACUCUUGACAUUUGGCCCCUGCGUUUUUAACCGCCGUGUUCGGUUCGUGAAAGACCGGCUGGAUGCCAUUCAGGGUUUGGCUCUUCGACAACAAUACCGACCCCUAACCACUACCAAGAGCCACGAGCUGCCCCAGUGGGCAGGCCUUCCCUCUGCCCCCUAAAAGAAAAAGAAGUUGGGAAUGAGGGAGCCAAAAUGACCAGCCUUGAAAAUACAGGAAAGCCUUAACAAGCUGGCUAGCCUUGGAAGUUAGGAAGACCCCAAUAAACAUGCAGCUGCAGUAGGUACCAGAUAAAGGCCAGGAAGACCCCAAUAAACAUGCCAAACCCCAGCUGUAGUAGGUACCAGAUAAAGGCCAGGAAGACCCCAAUAACAUAAAAUUGUCAAGGUCCCAAGAAUAGUAUGUAACCGAUAAGGGCUGAGGGGAGCCAAACAUGCCAGCAAUGUUCCAAGAAUCAUAUGUAGCAGAUAAGGGAUUGGAAGGGGGGGCCAUACAUGCUGGAGAGUACUUAAGGUCCAGCCUCUCAGAAGCAACUUGGAACUCUGAUGGCAGAGGUUCCCACUGAUGUGCGUAUCAGUUCAAUAAAUGGCCUUUCUCUGCCUGUUUGCAUUGUCCACAGGUCUUCCUUGGUGGUGGGUGAAAUCCCAGACCUUAACACUCCAGGUUUGUAAUUCAGCUCCUCUCCCACCAAAUUCCCACGCCAGGAAAUAGUCCUUUGGCUAGAAGGAUAGAAAAUUCAAGGGACCUUGAAGCCUGGCCCCAAAGUAUUAAUAUGGUAUCUUGUUCUUGGUCCCAAGAGAGUGUUAGAUUCUGGCUCCAGCCCUCACAGAGCAGCUUAUAGUCGAGGCAUUGCCGUAAAGGCAGAACCGUAAGGGUUAAGCCUCCUCUUCUCUCUGUUUGGGAUGCAUAGUCAGGGUCAUGGGUUGAACUGUGUAUGACCUGCCCAGCUGUGUGCUCAAGGUUGGAGUAGCAUCAGAGGGAGGACUGAUAAGGUUUGUGAGAAAGAAACUGUAAGGUUGGAGUAGCCAGCAGAGGACUGAUAAGGGUUGUGAGAAAUUGUGAGAGUCUGUGGGAAAGUUGCUUCUCUGUCUUUGUUUGGAAUCCUCUUGGUUCUUCCCUGUGCCUGGCAGGUAAUGUCAUGAAUUCCUAUGAAUCUGCCCAAUUAUUGGUUCCUGCUGUUGCUGGGCGGUAACAUCAUAUCUUCCUGUGGUCUUAACCUAUAUAUUGCUUUGUUUGAACUCAAUAAAGGGUCGUUAUGCUUUUUCA